UCUCGGUGCGAACGUGCAAACCCAUUUAAGCGCAAUAAUCAAUAAUAAGUAAAUAACAACAUAUGCCUGUCUUGCAUUGAAGAAGACGAACACCUGGACAUGUGAUCGCACCUCACAGAUCUCGAGCACUUUUCGGCGAGAAGAAGAAGAAGAAGGGAAAGUGAUCAGAACAGUUAGUCGGAAAUAAAAUUCUUACCUGUGCACAACACUUCGCUCGGGCUUUCCUUGACUUUCCAACUUAGGAGAAAUGUUCUGAAGGGGGAAAAAAAGAGAGGGCGAGCGGGCCGGAAGAUGUGCCCUGGAGAGAGAACUGGGAAGCGGAGUCAUUAAUUGAAUUUUCACAGCGAGCUGCUGCGAGGAGGAAAAGACGGAGCGGAUUCAUCUGCACUGACCCGGGGCCUUAACCUGCUCAUGAAGGGUGUGUUCCAAACCUCAGUGUCUGAACAUCUAUGAACAUCUACCCUCUAUGAAGACAACCUAAAGAACUGCAUUAUCCUGAUCAGGGUAGUGAAGAAUAUGGAGCCUAUUCUGGGAAUGCCGAGGACAAGGCUGGAAAACACCCCAGAUGUAACGCCAGUCCAUCACAGUUCACUCAAGUCCACUUAUCAGCAUGUUGGGAGGAAACAGAGAACCUGAAGGAGCCCAACACAUACACAGGUGAGUGAAACGACGAGACUCGCACAACGGCAUGAUGGUGUUGAGCUAUCGUGGGCAAAAUGGAGACGUCUGAAUAAUUAAUCUAAAUAAUGUAAAGUAAUCCAACAAGCCUCCCCUUCUCCCCUCUCCCUCACCUGUUUGCAUUCCUCGGGGCUUCUAAUACUGAUGCCAACUCAAGUAAAAUAGCUGUCCUUCAUUUUUAUAGUGGAAGGUGUUUUUUUUUUUGUUUGUUUUUUCCCUGAGUUCUCAAACCCUUUUACCUGGC